AGCGAACGCUGGCGGCAGGCUUAACACAUGCAAGUCGAGCGGGCGUAGCAAUACGUCAGCGGCAGACGGGUGAGUAACGCGUGGGAACAUACCUUUUGGUUCGGAACAACACAGGGAAACUUGUGCUAAUACCGGAUAAGCCCUUACGGGGAAAGAUUUAUCGCCGAAAGAUUGGCCCGCGUCUGAUUAGCUAGUUGGUGAGGUAACGGCUCACCAAGGCGACGAUCAGUAGCUGGUCUGAGAGGAUGAUCAGCCACAUUGGGACUGAGACACGGCCCAAACUCCUACGGGAGGCAGCAGUGGGGAAUAUUGGACAAUGGGCGAAAGCCUGAUCCAGCCAUGCCGCGUGAGUGAUGAAGG
rnacentral:rRNA from 1 species